AAGAAGCAAUGAAAGUGGAACUGAAAACCAAGGAGGAGCUGAAGCCCUGGGAGCAGCACUCUACUGUCAUCACCAUUCCUCGUUUUGACUACAACGCCCCUUCUUCUCUCCUCAGUCAUUCCCACUCCGGAUUCCUCAUCACCUGUCCCAUCAAGAGGGAGAAGAGUGCAACACAAGAAGCCAUGUCAAUUCUUGAAAAGUUGCAAGUAUAGAAGACUUUUAUAUCCUGAUUGCUGAUUGAAACCUGAAGAAUUCCAUGACAACAGAAAUAUCUGCGACCAAUCGAACUAUUGACUUUUAAAGAUGAGAAUCCUUCUGAAUCCUCCUAUGGAGACAGGAGAAUUAUGUGUCAAAUAUAGAUAAUCUUUUCUUGCUGGCUAUGCUAUGUAAACUGUUUUCUCAUCGAAACUGUUUUCUUGCUGGUGGUGAUCUAUUGUCAUUACUUACUUUUUCUUUUCAUUAAUUUUUUACAAAAUUUGAUUGACUUUUAGCACUUUUGAUCUUAG